UGAAGAUGUGGAGAGGCCCAGGCUGCAGACACUGUUCUUGGCCACCAAAGAAAGAAGCAGCUUCCAGGGAGACGCCUCCAGCAGUCGACCUCUGAAGAAAAGCCAAGGAGAUUUGCAGGGGACCAGGCUGCUGAAUCUGCCUACAGUCUUGUUGUCUUCUGGAGGCAGAGAGAGAGCAAAGGCCCCCGGCCUAGCAUCACCCUGAGCUGUUGCUGGUGGUGUGAGCUAAAAGCUCAUGAAGAGCUGAUUAUCCACCAUCAUCUCCAUUGCUGUCUGUUCCAGCAUCCAGUGCUGUUCCUCCCGACCUCUGGGCUGCUGCAUCAUUUUACCUGCCCUGGCUGUGAGCCCCUCCGGCUGUGCUGCCACCAUGAGUUGGCUCACGGUCACCACUUACCAGCUGUCACGCCAACAGGUGAUCGUUUGCUGGCCGAUUUCAUCUUGGAGGGGCGACCUUUUUUUGGAACUUCUGAACACUGGAUUUGAAGAAUGUGACUCUUCUUUGGGCCUUAUUGUCUGGAGUGUAGCCCCAGGACAAUGCAGAAUGGAGGUGGUCAAAUCCGAAAGCAUUGCCUUGCAGCUGGUCUCCGAGGGAGGGAGGAGCUUUCAAUUUGUGCUAACUGUGCUGCCUGCACUGCCUGCAGGGUUUGCACAGCCUCCUUAGCAAGUUGAAGAAGUCUCUGCAGACCUUGCUGGACACUUACCAUCAGUGCGUGCUUGCCGAAUUUUCCCACAUCCUUUUUCUGCCCAUUUAUUGAGGCUUCCCAAACUUUUGUUUAUUUGCAUUCUGAGGGAAAAGAGCUUCACUAGAAAGAUCACAUCUGAACUGCUGACCACCAGGUGAUGAGAAAGCAAGCUGGGAUUAACCAAAGUCUCCAAAGGUUGGUGCUGCAUAGACAGACAUGCUUGUCCUUGAGCACUACCCCUUCACCCCCUGUAACUGCAUAAAUACCCCUGAGCUCUGCCAAAGAGCAG